rnacentral:lncRNA from 1 species
CAGAACUUCAGUCUGAACUCAGUCCAUACACACUAUGUAGAGAGAUUCAGGACAAAAUAUAUGCUAGAUCCUUCUCAUUUUUUAUCUGUCCAAAAUAUUUUAAAAAAUGAUGGGGAAGUGGAAGUUUAAUACACGAGUUCAAAAAACAAAAAGUACGAGUUAUCCUUAUGACAUAGUUUAGCUGUUCAAAUGUCCACCAGCUGUCCCUCAAUAAAAGAUAAUUAGUGAUUUGGUUUUGAGAAACAUAUAUGCAAAGACAAUUGAAACUAUAUUAAAAGAAGACUACAAGAGAAUAUAAAUUCUAGUUCCCAAAUACUAGAGCUUUCUCAUUAGAAUAAAGAGCAGCCAAAUA